rnacentral:rRNA from 1 species
GAUGAACGCUGGCGGCGUGCUUAACACAUGCAAGUCGAACGGAAAGGCUCCUGCUUGCCGGGGUACUCGAGUGCCGAACGGGUGAGUAACACGCGGGUGAACUGCCCCGCACUUAGGGAUAAGCCUGGGAAACUGGGUCUAAUACCGGAUAGGACGAUGUUUUGGAUGCCAUUGUGGAAAGAUUUUUCGGCGUGGGAUCAGCUCGAGGCUUAUCAGCUAGUCAGUGGGGAAAUGGCAUACUAAGGGGUCGACGGGUAGCCGGCGUGUGAGGGGGUACGGCCACAUUGGGACUGAGAUACGGAGCAGACUCCUACGGGAGGCAGCAGUCGGGAGUAUUGCACAGUGGCGGCAAGCCUGAGACGACGGCGCCGGGUGGGUGAUGACGGCCUACGAGUUGUAAACUCCUUUCUCUGGACAUGAAGCGCUAGUGACGGUACCUGGAGAAGAAGCACCGGCUAACUACGUG